GACGAACGCUGGCGGCGUGCUUAACACAUGCAAGUCGAACGGAAAGGCCCUGCUUGCAGGGUACUCGAGUGGCGAACGGGUGAGUAACACGUGGGUGAUCUGCCCUGCACUUCGGGAUAAGCCUGGUAAACUGGGUCUAAUACCGGAUAGGAGCCAUUUUGAGUGUGAUGGUUGGAAAGUUUUUUCGGUGUAGGAUGAGCUCGCGGCCUAUCAGCUUGUUGGUGGGGUAAUGGCCUACCAAGGCGGCGACGGGUAGCCGGCCUGAGAGGGUGGACGGCCACAUUGGGACUGAGAUACGGACCAGACUCCUACGGGAGGCAGCAGUGGGGAAUAUUGCACAAUGGGCGCAAGCCUGAUGCAGCGACGCCGCGUGGGGGAUGACGGCCUUCGGGUUGUAAACUCCUUUCGCUAGGGACGAAGCUUUUGUGACGGUACCUAGAUAAGAAGCACCGGCUAACUACGUG
rnacentral:rRNA from 1 species